rnacentral:rRNA from 1 species
AGACCCGAAACCCGGUGAUCUAGCCAUGGGCAGGUUGAAGGUUGGGUAACACUAACUGGAGGACCGAACCGACUAAUGUUGAAAAAUUAGCGGAUGACCUGUGGCUGGGGGUGAAAGGCCAAUCAAACCGGGAGAUAGCUGGUUCUCCCCGAAAGCUAUUUAGGUAGCGCCUCGUGAAUUCAUCUCCGGGGGUAGAGCACUGUUUCGGCUAGGGGGCCAUCCCGGCUUACCAACCCGAUGCAAACUGCGAAUACCGGAGAAUGUUAUCACGGGAGACACACGGCGGGUGCUAACGUCCGUCGUGAAGAGGGAAACAACCCAGACCGCCAGCUAAGGUCCCAAAGUCAUGGUUAAGUGGGAAACGAUGUGGGAAGGCCCAGACAGCCAGGAUGUUGGCUUAGAAGCAGCCAUCAUUUAAAGAAAGCGUAAUAGCUCACUGGUCGAGUCGGCCUGCGCGGAAGAUGUAACGGGGCUAAACCAUGCACCGAAGCUGCGGCAGCGACACUCAGGUGUUGUUGGGUAGGGGAGCGUUCUGUAAGCCUGCGAAGGUGGCCUGUGAGGGUUGCUGGAGGUAUCAGAAGUGCGAAUGCUGACAUAAGUAACGAUAAAGCGGGUGAAAAGCCCGCUCGCCGGAAGACCAAGGGUUCCUGUCCAACGUUAAUCGGGGCAGGGUGAGUCGACCCCUAAGGCGAGGCCGAAAGGCGUAGUCGAUGGGAAACGGGUUAAUAUUCCCGUACUUGGUGUUACUGCGAAGGGGGGACGGAGAAGGCUAUGUUGGCCGGGCGACGGUUGUCCCGGUUUAAGCGUGUAGGUGUGUGUUCCAGGUAAAUCCGGUUCACUUUAACACUGAGGCGUGACGACGAGGCACUACGGUGCUGAAGCAACAAAUGCCCUGCUUCCAGGAAAAGCCUCUAAGCAUCAGGUAACAUCAAAUCGUACCCCAAACCGACACAGGUGGUCAGGUAGAGAAUACCAAGGCGCUUGAGAGAACUCGGGUGAAGGAACUAGGCAAAAUGGUGCCGUAACUUCGGGAGAAGGCACGCUGACACGUAGGUGAAGUGAUUUACUCAUGGAGCUGAAGUCAGUCGAAGAUACCAGCUGGCUGCAACUGUUUAUUAAAAACACAGCACUGUGCAAACACGAAAGUGGACGUAUACGGUGUGACGCCUGCCCGGUGCCGGAAGGUUAAUUGAUGGGGUCAGCGCAAGCGAAGCUCCUGAUCGAAGCCCCGGUAAACGGCGGCCGUAACUAUAACGGUCCUAAGGUAGCGAAAUUCCUUGUCGGGUAAGUUCCGACCUGCACGAAUGGCGUAAUGAUGGCCAGGCUGUCUCCACCCGAGACUCAGUGAAAUUGAACUCGCUGUGAAGAUGCAGUGUACCCGCGGCAAGACGGAAAGACCCCGUGAACCUUUACUAUAGCUUGACACUGAACAUUGAGCCUUGAUGUGUAGGAUAGGUGGGAGGCUUUGAAGUGUGGACGCCAGUCUGCAUGGAGCCGGCCUUGAAAUACCACCCUUUAAUGUUUGAUGUUCUAACGUGGACCCGUGAUCCGGGUUGCGGACAGUGUCUGGUGGGUAGUUUGACUGGGGCGGUCUCCUCCUAAAGAGUAACGGAGGAGCACGAAGGUUGGCUAAUCCUGGUCGGACAUCAGGAGGUUAGUGCAAUGGCAUAAGCCAGCUUGACUGCGAGCGUGACGGCGCGAGCAGGUGCGAAAGCAGGUCAUAGUGAUCCGGUGGUUCUGAAUGGAAGGGCCAUCGCUCAACGGAUAAAAGGUACUCCGGGGAUAACAGGCUGAUACCGCCCAAGAGUUCAUAUCGACGGCGGUGUUUGGCACCUCGAUGUCGGCUCAUCACAUCCUGGGGCUGAAGUAGGUCCCAAGGGUAUGGCUGUUCGCCAUUUAAAGUGGUACGCGAGCUGGGUUUAGAACGUCGUGAGACAGUUCGGUCCCUAUCUGCCGUGGGCGCUGGAGAACUGAGGGGGGCUGCUCCUAGUACGAGAGGACCGGAGUGGACGCAUCACUGGUGUUCGGGUUGUCAUGCCAAUGGCACUGCCCGGUAGCUAAAUGCGGAAGAGAUAAGUGCUGAAAGCAUCUAAGCACGAAACUUGCCCCGAGAUGAGUUCUCCCUGAGACUUAGAGUCUCCUGAAGGAACGUUGAAGACGACGACGUUGAUAGGCCGGGUGUGUAAGCGCAGCGAUGCGUUGAGCUAACCGGUACUAAUGAACCGUGAGGCUUAACCUUACA